UACCUGGAGGAAGAGAAAGAAAAAUCGAUUUCCUGAGUAGCGGCGAGCGAAACGGAAAGAGCCCAAACCAAGAAGCUUGCUUCUUGGGGUUGUAGGACACUCUAUACGGAGUUACAAAAGAAAGUUAUAAAUGAAGCGGUCUGGAAAGGCCCGCCAAAGACGGUAACAGCCCGGUAGUUGAAAUGGCUUUCCCUCCAGAGUGGAUCCUGAGUACGGCGGAACACGUGAAAUUCCGUCGGAAUCCGGGAGGACCAUCUCCCAAGGCUAAAUACUCCCUAGUGACCGAUAGUGAACCAGUACCGUGAGGGAAAGGUGAAAAGCACCCCGGAAGGGGAGUGAAACAGUUCCUGAAACCGUGUGCCUACAAGUAGUUAGAGCCCGUUAAUGGGUGAUAGCGUGCCUUUUGUAGAAUGAACCGGCGAGUUACGAUUUGUUGCAAGGUUAAGCGGAAAAAGCGGAGCCGUAGCGAAAGCGAGUCUGAAUAGGGCGCAUAAGUAACAGGUCGUAGACCCGAAACCAGGUGAUCUACCCAUGUCCAGGAUGAAGGUAAGGUAAUACUUACUGGAGGUCCGAACCCACGCACGUUGAAAAGUGCGGGGAUGAGGUGUGGGUAGCGGAGAAAUUCCAAUCGAACUUGGAGAUAGCUGGUUCUCUCCGAAAUAGCUUUAGGGCUAGCCUCGAGGUAAAGAGUCAUGGAGGUAGAGCACUGUUUGGACUAGGGGCCCUUCUCGGGUUACCGAAUUCAGAUAAACUCCGAAUGCCAUGUACUUAUACUCGGGAGUCAGACUGCGAGUGAUAAGAUCCGUAGUCGAAAGGGAAACAGCCCAGACCACCAGUUAAGGUCCCCAAAUAUAUGUUAAGUGGAAAAGGAUGUGGGGUUGCUUAGACAACCAGGAUGUUGGCUUAGAAGCAGCCACCAUUGAAAGAGUGCGUAAUAGCUCACUGGUCGAGUGACCCCGCGCCGAAAAUGUACCGGGGCUAAACAUAUUACCGAAACUGUGGAUGAACCUCUUUAGAGGUUCGUGGUAGGAGAGCGUUCUAAGGGCGGUGAAGUCAGACCGGAAGGACUGGUGGAGCGCUUAGAAGUGAGAAUGCCGGUAUGAGUAGCGAAAGAAGGGUGAGAAUCCCUUCCACCGAAUAUCUAAGGUUUCCUGAGGAAGGCUCGUCCGCUCAGGGUUAGUCGGGACCUAAGCCGAGGCCGAUAGGCGUAGGCGAUGGACAACAGGUAGAGAUUCCUGUACCAGUGCUAAUUGUUUAACCGAUGGGGUGACACAGAAGGAUAGGGAAUCGCACGAAUGGAAAUGUGCGUCCAA
rnacentral:rRNA from 1 species